GAUGAACGCUGGCGGUAUGCCUAACACAUGCAAGUCGUACGAGAGUUUUUAACUCAAGUGGCGGACGGGUGAGUAACACGUGAGAAUUUGCCUUUAGGAGGGGGACAACAACUGGAAACGGUUGCUAAUACCCCAUAUGCUUUCGAGUGAAAUGAAUUUAUUCGCCUAAAGAGAAGCUCGCGGCUGAUUAGCUUGUUGGUAGGGUAAGAGCCUACCAAGGCGACGAUCAGUAUCUGGUUUGAGAGGACGAUCAGACACACUGGAACUGAGACACGGUCCAGACUCCUACGGGAGGCAGCAGUGGGGAAUUUUCCGCAAUGGGCGAAAGCCUGACGGAGCAAUACCGCGUGAGGGAAGACGGCCCAUGGGUUGUAAACCUCUUUUUUCAGGGAGGAAUAAAUGA
rnacentral:rRNA from 1 species